UCCCUCGCUUGCUCCCACUCUCGCGAUGGGACUCACCUGCUCCCUCCUCACCUUCCGUCUUGAUUGGCAGCUCCCCAGGCCCUCACCGGAAGCAGAUGCUGGCGUGACACUUGUCGUACAGUCUGCAGAACCUGAACCUUCAGAGGAUGAAGGGGAAGCUUUCCCUUGGUGCCUACGGUGAUUAAGAUAAGCCUAUCUAAGGUGAUGGAAAUGAAGUGCAGACUUGGACAAAGGGAAGAUGCCAGCCACGCAAUGAUCUGGAGGGAGAGCAUCAAAGCAGAGGAAAUCCAAAAGCCCCAAGAGGGAUGAGUCUGGUGUGCUCCAAAGGAAAACCAGUGCCAGGAGGGGGAGGACGGUGGGAGGUUGCAGUUUAUUUAGAUGCUUCGUUUUAAUGGCUGUCAUCGAAAAGAAAGAUUCCUCACAAAGGCGAGAUCCCGGCCUGGCUUCCCAGCAUCCUGUACCAUCCCAGGACUGAGCAGAUGUCCUGUGGGAAAACUGGCUGUAUGUUUAGGGCUCCUCUGCCUUUCCAGUACAACUCACAUGACAGGGAUCUGGACCAGUCGAAACAUCAUCUCAGAGUAGACAAGUGUCAUUGGAAAUGGUCAGGAUGAAUCUUCAAGAGCAAUACCUAUGUCAGUGAGAAAUACUAUACUGAAUAGACUCCAAUUCUGUUUCAGCUAAUCCCCUAUGUGAUGGUAUUUGGAGGUAGGACCUUUAGGAGAUAAUUAGGUUUUGAUGAGCUCAUGAGGGUGGAGCCCCCAUAAUAGGAUUAGUGCCUUUAUAAGAAGAGACACAACCUAUCUAUCUGUCCAUCCAUCCAUUCCCUGCUUCCUUGCCUAUGUAAGCAUACGUCAAGAAAGCAGUCAUCUGCAAACUCGGAAGAGAGCUCUCAACACAACCCAACCAUGCUGGCAGCCUGAUCUCAGAAUUCUCAGCCUCCUGAACUGUGAGAAAUAAAAUGUCUAUUGUUUAAGCUGCCCAGUCUAAGGUAUUUUGUUAGCAGCCUAGCCCUAGCAGACUCCAAUACUGCUGUUCUUGUUUCUUUGAAAGGUCAGCUUUAUGAUAGAUUAAAAUGUGAUUAAUUCAGGGAUAUCUAGUAUUUUAAGCAAGAUAUACUUAUGUUCAUUUAUGACUUCAUUUAAAAAUAUUUUUAAAACUCCACAAUAAUAGGAUUUCCUCAGUAAGAUUUGCUUCCUAGUGUUUUUCUAACCUUUAUAAAACAUAAUAGCAUAUUCUUUCUAGGAGAGAGAAAGUAGUUUUAUCAUUACCCUACUGAGAUUGAUUUAACUGGCCAGAUCCAAGAUGGGAAAAGCAUAAGGUCAAACUUUCAAAAUUGGGCUAGCUUUCUGAGUUUAUAAGAGCAUUUUUUUUUUUUUUUUUUUUGC